CUUCCUUCCUUCUUUCUUCUUCUUCUUCUCUCUCUCUCUCUCUCUCUUUCUCUCUCUCUCUCUCCUUUUCUUUCUCUCUUUCUUUCUCUCCUUUUUUCCCAGCGAUCAUUUCAGAAGACAGACACCAGGCUGCUUUGGUUUUAGAUAUGCGAACGCGCUGGGCAGGUUCUUCAUUUGACUGCUGACCUCAGCCAGAAAUGUUGAACCACUCAGCUACGAUCAUGGUUGAGUUGGAAGCAUGUCUAUGUGCUUGGGUACCAACACUUUUAACCCUACAACCACCAAGAAUGGGACAGGACAAUGUAUUUCAAGUUACAGUUGAAAGGCAGAACACACCUCUUCUCUGUGAGCUGAAAGAACAGAGAGGAACUUCUGAAAACACAGAAACAGAAGCCAAACUCAGAGAAAGAACUGACCUCCCAAUCAGGUAUAAUUUUAGAGACAGCAAGAAAAACACCUGCUGGGCUGCCUUGGGUAGCGACUCGAGGUAUAUUCUGUACAAUUUCUGUCUAUGAUGUACAUGACACUCUCUGGAGCCUCCUGGAUGAAGCUGCCCUUCCAUUUGACUUCAGGUACUUGAAGUUUAACAUUGUAUAAUAAGUAACUUGCAUGGAGCUGUUUAGUAUUAUCCAUCACACACUUCAAUACUAAAAGCCCCAGGGAUUUGCUACUGUCGUAAGGAGAUUUGAUAAACUUGAGAUACUUAUUGUUUUUCUUUUUUUUUGUGUGUGUGUGUGUUGUGUGUUUAUGUGUGUAUGCAUGUGUUGUGUAUGUUACUGAUUAAACAACUUUAUUUUAAGAGAACUUUAUUUCCUAGGAAUCAAACUAUGAUAGCAG
rnacentral:lncRNA from 1 species